rnacentral:misc_RNA from 1 species
AUUGCUGAGAUCUGUGACAGG